CGCCUGUUUAUCAAAAACAUCUUUUCUUGUUAGUUUUUGAAGUAUGGCCUGCCCGCUGACUUUGGUGUUGAAGGGCCGCGGUAUUUUGACCGUGCAAAGGUAGCAUAGUCAUUAGUUCUUUAAUUGUGAUCUGGUAUGAAUGGCUUGACGAGGCAUGGGCUGUCUUAAUUUUGAAUUGUUUAUUGAAUUUGGUCUUUGAGUUAAAAUUCUUAGAUGUUUUUAUGGGACGAGAAGACCCUAUAGAGUUUAACAUUUAUUAUGGUCCCUUUCUGUUUGUGAGGGUUCACUGGGCCGUCUAAUAUGUUUUGUUGGGGUGAUGGGAGGGAUUAAUUUAACCCCUCCUUUUAUUAUUAUAUUUAUUUAUAUUUGCUUGAUCCAUUUAUUUUGAUUGUAAGAUUAAAUUACCUUAGGGAUAACAGCGUAA
rnacentral:rRNA from 1 species